GAUGAUCAUGUAGCUUUUUC
rnacentral:misc_RNA from 1 species